AUGAACGUUUCUACCGUUCCUAACCAAGCAAUAAGCAACUAACUUAUACGCGAUGGUUUUAAACUUGUCCAUCAACAACAAUUAUACUACGAUGGUUUUAAAUUUGUCCAUCAACAACGUUCUUCGUGUUCUUCGCGUGUUCUUCGUGUUCUUCGUUCGUUCUUCAUUUUAAUCGAUAUUUUGGAUUACGAUUUCACUUUUUCUUGGAAUUUGAUGUUAUAGAACACCAUUCCUUACUUAUUU
rnacentral:lncRNA from 1 species